rnacentral:rRNA from 1 species
AUGCUGAAAAGAAGACAUUUUCAUGUUGGGGAUACUGAAUCAUGCGUCCUGUGCACUACUCAUGAGGAAGAGACCAUUGAUCACUUGAUAUUUAAUUGCCCUUUUAGCCACACUACACUAGUAGAAAAAGGAUUGCUACGUCUCGAGCUUGCGUUGGAUUUCCCCGAAGAGGAGAGGAUGAUGCAGCACAGUAGCGUUAGUAUUUCCCUCAGUUUUUGA